UCCAGUUUCAGUUAAUGUGAAAGAUAACCGGUUGUCAGCGUCUUUAUUCAUCAAACCCUGUCUGUAAAGAGAUGCUGGGGCGACCAACGAAAUCUCGAGUACAUGGUUUGUCAUAAUAAAAUGAAUGUUAGUACUAGAUAAAUGUGCCAGCAUUUAAGUAUACGUUUAUCGUCUGCAUUAGAGAGGUUACUCCGUUGAAUGUAGACUGACCCUGAAUUCAUAGAACGUGAAAAUAGCCAGUUAACCGGCGGGAGCAAAGCAGAGAUCGAGCUCUGUGUGGAAAGAUGUCGUCCGUGCAGAAAACGAUGUCUAAUCUUCGCUCCCGAGUGGAGGGGUACGAAAAGACCGAGGACACGGCAAUCUCAGAGAAGACCUCCUUAGUUGACCAAGAAGACGCACGACUGAUAUUCCUCAAUCAGCCACAAUUGACCAAGUUCUGCAGCAAUCACUUCAGACAAUACUGUGUGGUACCUGGGCUUCUUCCUGGAAUGGAUUCUUAGAGAGAAGCAGAAUUCCUUUGCCUGCGUGACAUUGUAGCAGAACUGUAUCCUUCUCGAUGGAUUAGACGACAUGCUGGAUUUCAAGCAGAAGAUGACUCGAGGAGCUAAAUGGCAGUUUGAUCAUGACAACACUCCUCACAUAUGUACAAGUGUUCCCUGAACUUACAGGAUGUUUCUUCAAGACCACCUCUCCCAUCAUCUUCUAAUAACCAGUUAUCUUAGCUACAGAUUGUUACACCAGAUAAUGUGAUUUAACCAAAGAUUAUUGGUAUCCUUUACUGGGAGGUACAGGAUAGUUGCUUUUUGGUGUAGCACAGAAUUUUCUACCAACCUUAGCUUGGUGAUGCUGUCUUCAUCCUCGAUUUGUGGAAACGGGUAUGGAAGGACCACCAGAGGGCAUGCUGGGCUCACGGAUAGUAGCCCAACAAGGCAUGGGAGACAAGGUAACCAGAGGCAAUUAAGCACAGCUGACGGUACUAAUGACAUAUUCUCCUUCCCCUAUAAGAGAGAGUAUGGAACCGGGGGCGGGGGGACAAACUAUCUCUAGAAGAUGGCCACAGAGACAGAGGAGCUAUCCAUGAAGAACCACUAAGACGGUGACAAUCUCGUGACUUUUGUUGUAGU